rnacentral:rRNA from 1 species
UACGUAGGGUGCGAGCGUUAAUCGGGAUUACUGGGCGUAAAGCGUGCGCAGGCGGUUUUGUAAGCCAGAUGUGAAAUCCCCGGGCUCAACCUGGGAAUGGCAUUUGGGACUGCAAGGCUGGAGUGCGGCAGAGGAGACUGGAAUUCCUGGUGUAGCAGUGAAAUGCGUAGAUAUCAGGUGGAACAUCGGUGGCGAAGGCGGCUCACUGGACCAGUACUGACACUGAGGAGCGAAAGCAUGGGGAUCAAACAGG